AUGAAGAGUAACAACAUUAAGACCUGUUUUAACUGGACAUUUCCGCACAAAUACCAUUAUGCCCAGACAGUCUGUCUUGUGGCCCCAACCAAAGGUAAGACCCCAGAACCUAGUCUAACCAUAGUCUGCAGUUUGGUCCUAGAGCACAGGUUGCCUCUCCAACGUUGGAGGAAACUGGAUUUCCCCAAACAUCCCCAGUUUUGCCAUUUCUAUGUACAUCUAGUAACUUCUCCUUUUCCUUCAAUGAGCCUGUGUGUCUUAUGGACACAAAGAUAUUGGAAAUGGAAAUUUCAUCUCCUUGUGGGAGUUUCAUUAUUUGCCUGUGGCUGUCCAGUUUCAUGCCUGUCCAAAUGGCUAACAUCAAAGAGACCAGAAAUAACAAAUGUUGGAGAGAAUGGAGAGAAAAGGGAACCAUUGUUGGUGGGAAUGUAAACUGGGGCAGCCACUAUGGAAAACAGUAUGGAGGCUCCUCAAAAAAUUAAGAAUAGAACUAUCCUGAGAUCCAGCUAUUCCACUUCUAGGUAUUUCUCCAAAGAACACAAAAACAGUAAUCUAAAAAGAUAACAUGCUCCCCAAACGCUCACAGCAGCACUCUCUCUCUUUUUUUUUUAAGGGCGGCACCCAUGGCAUAUGGAGGUUCCCAGGCUAGGGACUGAAUUAGAGCUGUGGCCUACACCACAGCCACAGCAAUGCCAGAUCUGAGCCACAUCUGCAACCUACAUCAUAGCUCAUGGCAAUGCCAGAUCCUUAGCCCACUGAGCAAGGCCAGGGAUCAAACCUGCCUCCUCAUAGAUGCUAGUCACAUUCGUUUCCGCUGAGCCACGAUGGGAACUCCCAUAGCAGCACUCUUCACAAUAGCCAAGAUAUGGAAACAACCUAAGUGUCUGUCAACAGAUGAAUAGAUUAAGAUAGCAGUGUAUAUAUAUAUAUAUACAUAGAAUACUACUCAGCCAUAAAAAAGGAACAAAAUCCUGCCAUUUUUGACAACAUGGAUAGACCUUGGGGGCAUUAUGCUAAGUGAAAUAAGUCAGAAGUCAGAUGGAGAAAGACAAAUACCAUAUGAUUUCGCUCAUACAUGGAAUCUAAAGACAAAACAAAUAAAACAAAAAUAAACUCAUACA
rnacentral:lncRNA from 1 species